UCUCAAAGAGUGGUUGUUUUUGCUUCUUCCAAACUCAUCAAAUACGACAUUCAAACCCUCUGUGACAUUUUUCGAUUCAAAUUUCCUCCAUUUGAAUCCGCUCAUACAUUGCUUCUUCUACUCCCAACUUUUCCUUCCUUCGCCAUUUUCUCAUUCUGGAUAUGAAUCUCACUAUUGUUCACUGUGGGUUCACUUCCUCCUAAUCGGUAACUUACUCUCGACAAUGGCCUUCGCUACUAUGUUCAUUGCAAUUCCAAGCCUCGCAUGAGAGCCACUCUCGCUCUCGCCGUCAAGGCUGGAUCAGCUCUCGAAGUGGAGGAUGAACGCAGAAUUGCUCACAUUGUUGAACACCUCGCGUUUAGUGCCACCAAGAAAUACACCAAUCACGACAUCGUAAAAUUCCUCGAGAGUAUUGAAGCCGAAUUAGGGGCCUGUUAGAACGCCAUGACCUUUGCCGACGACACACUUUACGAGCUCUUGGUUCCGGUCGACAAGUCGGAGCUGCUGUCUAAGGCCAUUUCGGUCUUAGCGGAGUUCAGUUCAGAGAUUCGAGUUUCGAAGGAUGACUUGGCAAAAGAGAGACAAGUUGUCUUGGAAGAGUACAGAGGAAGCACAAAUGCCACGGGGCGGCUACAGGAUGCUCAUUGGAUGUUGAUGAUGGAAGUUUGAGGAAUUGUUUUAUAUCGAUUGGUGUUAUUUCAUGAAGUUUUGAAUGUAUUGCAGUAUGCUGAACGACUGCCAAUUGGCCUAGAGAAAGUAAUUCAAAUGGUUUCUUCAGAGACUGUGAAGCAUUUUUACAAGAAGUGGUACCAUUUAUGCAAUAUGGUAGUGAUAGCAGUUGGAGAUUUUUCUGAUACGCAGGAGAAGUAGCGUUUUUCAUCAACUUAUGAUCGUUGUAUGACAAGAAAGGUUUGGAAUUUAACAUGCAUGGAUCGAUAUUCUAACUCUUUAUCUAAGGCAAGGAAAAAGGCGAAAGAAAGGACAAAUUCAAACAAUAUUCAAGACUUAAAAGGUUUUGGAGCAAGAGGUAUUAGGACUUAGAUGUAGGAUGGAUUAGUAGACAUAUGGGCAACAGAAGAAUGAAAAAAAAAAGUCUACUGCAAGUAAGAGCAAUAAGGCUGCCAAGCCUGAUGCCAUGAUUCACACAGCAGGAUCACGAAGCUUUGGACAACACUUGAAAAAAAUGGAAGAAGAAUACAAACGCCCAAUUUCUUAUGGUGAAUUAUACAACAAAGUUCACAAAAGAAAAGAUGGUCAAUAUGUGUCUAACAAAGCAAAAAGCUUCAUUGAAUCAUAUGAAAAUGCUAUGACUGAAAAAUAUAGGGAAGACACAUCAAAGCAUCCUAUAGUUGACUCUGGUGUUUGGAUAAAAACAGGUGGUGAAAAUAGGAAAGGUAGAAUCUAUGGAAUUGGUCAUAGUUUGGAUCUUGGCAUUGGUCCACAUGUUUCAUCCUCAACAGUUGAAGGCCCCUCUUCCCAAAAUCUAAAUCCAACAGCUGAAGAAAUCACUACAUUGACUACACAAAUAUCUAAUUUGCAAGAGUAGGUGAAAACACAAUUACAAGCACAGACUGAUAUGCAAGCAUUAAUGCAAGCACAAAUGAAGGCACAAACAAAAAUGCAAGCAUUUAUGCAACAAUAGAUGCAAGAGCAAAUGCAAUCUUUUAAGAUAGAAUUGUUGUCUGUUUUGAAGAAACAAGAAUGAAGACAUAUGCCUCAAAGAACCCAAAACUUUGUUUUUCUUUUAAUUGUGUUAAUGCAUUACUUUUUGUUGAUACCCUCGAAUGCUUUUGUGUCCUAAAACUAUUAUACAUUGGUGGAAAAUUUUAUGUUAUUUUGUACUGUUGGAUGGAUAUACUUUGAUCAUUGUAGGAUUAAUUAUCAAUCC